rnacentral:lncRNA from 1 species
GGGAUUUCUGUUUUGGUCAUCUUGGUUAUUUGUGAGUGUGAAGGCAGAGAGCCCCUCACAUAUCAACUGAGGGAGUGUGCUGCUGCCCUCCGGUCUAGUUCCGUGAAUACAGCCUGCUUUCCUGGUGUCCCUUCGGAUGAAUGGCUGUUGUCCAUUUUUGUUGAUGGAAGGAAGUACCUGCCGUCUGUGCUGCCAUGUUUGAGGAAGGCAGCAUGCAUGCUCUUUAGGAACUCAGAGGUGAGGUGCAGGGACACCACUGGAGGCGGAGAACUUAGAAAAACUGCUCUGACAUUGGCGCUUUAUGGCUUGUUUCCGAGCUUAGAGCGUUCUUUUUUUUUUUCUUCCGUUUUUUCUUUAUUAACUUGAGUAUUUCUGAUUUACAUUUCGAAUGU